rnacentral:rRNA from 2 species
CUGCGAAUGGCUCAUUAAAUCAGUUAUCGUUUAUUUGAUAGUACCUUACUACACGGAUAUCUGUGGUAAUUCUAGAGUUAAUACGUGCUAAAAACCUCGACUUCGGGAGGGGUGUAUUUAUUAGACUAAAAACCAACGCCCUUCGGGGCUCCUUGGUGAUUCAUAAUAACUCAACGAAUCGCAUGGCCUUGCGCCGGCGAUGGUUCAUUCAAAUUUCUGCCCUAUCAACUUUCGAUGCUAGGGUAGUGGCCUAGCAUGGUGACAACGGGUAACGGGGGAUUAGGGUUCUAUUCCGGAGAGGGAGCCCGAGAAACGGCUACCACAUCCAAGGAAGGCAGCAGGCGCGCAAAUUACCCAAUCCCGACACGGGGAGGUAGUGACAAUAAAUACUGAUACAGGGCUCUUUUGGGUCUUGUAAUUGGAAUGAGUACGAUUUAAACACCCUAACGAGGAACAAUUGGAGGGCAAGUCUGGUGCCAGCAGCCGCGGUAAUUCCAGCUCCAAUAGCGUAUAUUAAAGUUGUUGCAGUUAAAACGCUCGUCGUUGAACCUUGGGCCUGGACGAUCGGUCCCCCUCACCGGGAGCACUGGUUCGGCCGGGCCUUUCCUUCUGGGGAUCCGCAUGCCCUUCGCUGGGCGUGUCGGGGAACCAGGACUUUUACUUUGAAAAAAUUAGAGUGUUCAAAGCAGGCCUUUGCUCGAAUACCUUAGCAUGGAAUAAUAGAAUAGGACGUGCGGUCCUAUUUUGUUGGUUUCUAGGACCGCCGUAAUGAUUAAUAGGGUCAGUCGGGGGCAUCAGUAUUCAAUUGUCAGAGGUGAAAUUCUUAGAUUUAUUGAAGACUAACUACUGCGAAAGCAUUUGCCAAGGAUGUUUUCAUUAAUCAGUGAACGAAAGUUAGGGGAUCGAAGACGAUCAGAUACCGUCGUAGUCCUAACCAUAAACUAUGCCGACUAGGGAUCGGGGUAUACUCAUUUUUGGUUACCUCGGCACCUUACGAGAAAUCAAAGUGUUUGGGUUCUGGGGGGAGUAUA